GCCAUUUUCCUGCCUCAGCCUCCCGAGUAGCUGGGACUAUAGGCACCCGCCACCACGCCCGGCUAAUUUUUUGUAUUCACAGUACAGACGGGGUUUCACCGUGUUAGCCAGGAUGGUUUCGAUCUCCUGACCUCGUGAUCCGCCCGCCUCUGCCUCCCAAAGUGCUGGGAUUACAGGCGUGAGCCACCGCGCCCGGUGGAAAGGACACUUUUUUACAGUAUGAGCACUGAAACAAAAAGGCAAAGCAAGGUCUGUUCACCUUCAGCUGAGAACGUGAGGAUUGGUUCAGGAGUACAUGCGCAGGUUUGUCAUAUAAGCAAAUUAUGUGGCACAGAAGUUUGGUGUAUGGAUUAUUUCAUCACCCAGGUUUGGAGAUGCGGACUGGCUUCCUUGUUCCUCAGCUUGCAGAUGGCCUACUGUGCGAUUUCACCUGGUGAUCAUCCUGCUGCCUGGAAUGCAUAUGUGAUGGCUGGAAUGCUAGCUCUAAUUUUGGAUCAUGAGGAAAAGUGCCACACCAUUGGAGAUGAGGGAUGAGCUGGAAGGGGUCCUGUGGCAGGGGAUCAUGUCCUGGGACAUACCAAGAGAGCAGCUUCUAGAGGACUGAUUAUCAGAGAGGAACUGGAAUGUGAAAAGACGUCUAACUAACCAUUAUUAAUGAUUCACUUGUAAUUUUCACUAAUGGAUGACCCACAUGAUUUCCUCUUCAAAGAAUUUGUCCAAAGCCACCCAUUUAAAAAAGAAAAGAAUGGAGGAUGGAAUCUCAUAAGUGAUCUUACCAUUUACAAAGCACAGUGUGAUUAAUCAAUUCUCCUUUAUAUUUUAGUGCCUACCGUGUUUCUUAAUUUGAUGGAGAAGCCUUCUUAUAAACACUCUUAGAAAAGCUAUAUGUAAUUAACUUUCUUCUUUGAGCAAAGGGACUUGUUUCUCUGAGAUGUCUAUAAAAGAUAAAGAGUUGAUGUGGGCCACACUCCUGCCUCUGCUUUCUCUUAGAGGUCUAAGGGUAAUUAGUGGACAAAAGCAGUCAAUUAAGCAGGUAUCUUCCCAGACACCAUGUCCACUCUUGAUGACUGUUGAAAACCUUAGAUAACCCCAUCAGGAACUGAGGUAAGGCCAUGAAUUGCCUUUAGUUUGAGCAUGGGUGAAUUUAAUCUCCUUAACCUAGUUAGGGAUUGGAAUCUGGCUCACCUUCAGGUUUUAUGAAUAAAGUUUUAUUGGAACACAGUCA
rnacentral:lncRNA from 1 species